rnacentral:rRNA from 1 species
UCCCUAGUACGGCGAGUGAGCGGGAAGAGCUCAAAUUUAAAAUCUGGCAGGCUACGCUUGUCCGAAUUGUAAUCUCGAGAAGUGUUUUCCGCGUUGGCCUGUGUACAAGUCCCUUGGAACAGGGCGUCAUAGAGGGUGAGAAUCCCGUCCUUGACACAGACACCCAAUGCUUUGUGAUACACUCUCAAUGAGUCGAGUUGUUUGGGAAUGCAGCUCAAAAUGGGUGGUAAAUUCCAUCUAAAGCUAAAUACUGGCGAGAGACCGAUAGCGAACAAGUACCGUGAGGGAAAGAUGAAAAGCACUUUGGAAAGAGAGUCAAACAGUACGUGAAAUUGUUGAAAGGGAAACGAUUGAAGUCAGUCGUGCCUGCCUAGAUUCAGCCUUCUGGUGUAUUUCUAGGUCGGCAGGUCAGCAUCAGUUUGGGGGGGUUAACAAGGGAGCUGGGAAUGUGGCAACCUCGGUUGUGUUAUAGCCCAGUUUCGCAUUGAUCUCGCUGGACUGAGGAACGCAGUGCGCCCGCAAGGGUUGGUCUUCGGACACAUUCGCACUUAGGAUGCUGGCAUAAUGGCUUUAAACGACCCGUCUUGAACCACGGGACCA